UUGGAGGGCAAGUCUGGUGCCAGCAGCCGCGGUAAUUCCAGCUCCAAUAGCGUAUAUUAAAGUUGUUGCAGUUAAAAAGCUCGUAGUUGAAUUUCGGGAUCAUCAGGUUGGUCGUGCCAUCGGUAUGUACUAGCUUUGGUGGUUCCUACCUCUUGAAGAACCGUAAUGUCAUUAACUUGGUGUUGCGGGGAAUCAGGACUGUUACUUUGAAAAAAUUAGAGUGUUUAA
rnacentral:rRNA from 1 species